UGCCAGCAGCCGCGGUAACACGGGGGGCGCAAGCGUUAUUCGGAAUUAUUGGGCGUAAAGGGCGCGCCGGCGGUCUUGUCGGUCAGGUGUGAAAGCUCGGGGCUCAACCCCGGAAGUGCACUUGAAACAGCAAGACUUGAAUACGGGAGAGGAGAGAGGAAUUCCUGGUGUAGAGGUGAAAUUCGUAGAUAUCAGGAGGAACACCGGUGGCGAAGGCGGUCACCUGGACUUCAACUGACGCUGAGGCGCGAAAGCGUGGGGAGCAAACCGGAUUAGAUA
rnacentral:rRNA from 1 species